rnacentral:rRNA from 1 species
CCUACGGGAGGCUGCAGUGAGGAAUAUUGGUCAAUGGCCGUAAGGCUGAACCAGCCAAGUCGCGUGAAGGAAGAAGGAUCUAUGGUUUGUAAACUUCUUUUAUAGGGGAAUAAAGGUAGCCACGUGUGGAUAUUUGCAUGUACCCUAUGAAUAAGCAUCGGCUAACUCCGUGCCAGCAGCCGCGGUAAUACGGAGGAUGCGAGCGUUAUCCGGAUUUAUUGUGUUUAAAGGGUGCGUAGGUUGUUUUUUAAGUCAGCGGUGAAAGGUUGUGGCUCAACCAUAAAAUUGCCGUGGAAACUGGAAGACUUGAGUGUGUUUGAGGUAGGCGGUAUGCGUGGUGUAGCG